GACAGUGUAGUAAUUGUAACUCUGUACACAGUAAUAAGUUCCAGCAUCCUCAGCCUGUACGCCACUGAUGGUGAGAGUGAAAUCUGUCCCAGACCCACUGCCGC